UCCCUGGUAGUAUAUCGGAUUAGUACACGCGCCUGUCAUCGUUACGAGCGUAAAUCUUGUGCGCGCGAGAGCGGGGUUCGACUCCCCGCCAGGGAG